CCCAGACUCCUACGGGAGGCAGCAGUGGGGAAUAUUGCACAAUGGGCGAAAGCCUGAUGCAGCGACGCCGCGUGAGGGAUGACGGCCUUCGGGUUGUAAACCUCUUUCAGCAGGGAAGAAGCGAAAGUGACGGUACCUGCAGAAGAAGCGCCGGCUAACUACGUGCCAGCAGCCGCGGUAAUACGUAGGGCGCAAGCGUUGUCCGGAAUUAUUGGGCGUAAAGAGCUCGUAGGCGGCUUGUCACGUCGGAUGUGAAAGCCCGGGGCUUAACCCCGGGUCUGCAUUCGAUACGGGCUAGCUAGAGUGUGGUAGGGGAGAUCGGAAUUCCUGGUGUAGCGGUGAAAUGCGCAGAUAUCAGGAGGAACACCGGUGGCGAAGGCGGAUCUCUGGGCCAUUACUGACGCUGAGGAGCGAAAGCGUGGGGAGCGAACAGGAUUAGAUACCCUGGUAGUCCACGCCGUAAACGUUGGGAACUAGGUGUUGGCGACAUUCCACGUCGUCGGUGCCGCAGCUAACGCAUUAAGUUCCCCGCCUGGGGAGUACGGCCGCAAGGCUAAAACUCAAAGGAAUUGACGGGGGCCCCGCACAAGCAGCGGAGCAUGUGGCUUAAUUCGACGCAACGCGAAGAACCUUACCAAGGCUUGACAUAUACCGGAAAGCAUCAGAGAUGGUGCCUCCCUUGUGGUCGGUAUACAGGUGGUGCAUGGCUGUCGUCAGCUCGUGUCGUGAGAUGUUGGGUUAAGUCCCGCAACGAGCGCAACCCUUGUUCUGUGUUGCCAGCAUGCCCUUCGGGGUGAUGGGGACUCACAGGAGACUGCCGGGGUCAACUCGGAGGAAGGUGGGGACGACGUCAAGUCAUCAUGCCCCUUAUGUCUUGGGCUGCACACGUGCUACAAUGGCCGGUACAAUGAGCUGCGAUGCCGCGAGGCGGAGCGAAUCUCAAAAAGCCGGUCUCAGUUCGGAUUGGGGUCUGCAACUCGACCCCAUGAAGUCGGAGUUGCUAGUAAUCGCAGAUCAGCAUUGCUGCGGUGAAUACGUUCCCGGGCCUUGUACACACCGCCCGUC
rnacentral:rRNA from 1 species